GACCUUGUUUCCAAAUUGUCACCGUAUGGUGCGCGUUUCAGGCUCGCUCCUAAAUAGGAACAAGGUCGUUU
rnacentral:sRNA from 12 species